GGACCCCGAGGACUUGCGCCGGUUUCCACCUCGGCGUCUCGGCCCUUGACUGGCAGUAAAACGCCGCACACAAGGAAGACGGCUAGAAAAGGCUAUGGAAGACUGGCUUGUUUGGCUAAAUUCAUCGUUGAAAAAUGUUGAUGACGUUUUCAUUCGAAAUUGGUUUUAGUAGAUGUACGCAAUGACUUACUAUCCUCCAUAACAACUGCAAAUAAAUGACAGCUUUCUAGAGUUUCAUUCCAUUAAAACAGUUCGACUUAGA